GCGUGGGUGAUGAAGGCCUUCGGGUUGUAAAGCCCUUUUGGCGGGGACGAUGAUGACGGUACCCGCAGAAUAAGCCCCGGCUAACUUCGUGCCAGCAGCCGCGGUAAGACGAAGGGGGCAAGCGUUGUUCGGAAUUACUGGGCGUAAAGGGCGCGUAGGCGGCCCGAUAAGUCAGCCGUGAAAGGCCUGGGCUCAACCUGGGAAUUGCGGUUGGGACUGUUGGGCUGGAGAGCGGGAGAGGAUGGUGGAAUUCCCAGUGUAGAGGUGAAAUUCGU
rnacentral:rRNA from 1 species